GAAAUCCAUGUGCGAUGAGAAUUGUAAGCACGGUUUGGGGAGAGAUUUUACUGAUACUGAAGGAGAAGAUAAUCCACUCCAU
rnacentral:ncRNA from 1 species